rnacentral:misc_RNA from 1 species
UAAUAAGUGUUUUAUGACACUUUUUAAAUCCAUAUCCACCUUGUGUGCAAUGUCAGUCGAUCUUCUUCAUGGAGAUCGACCAAACAUCAACCUUUAUCUUUUAACUCUUUGUCUUAAAAAUAUUAUGAAUAAACAAUUCAAAAUA